GCUGCUUUUCUUGGCGGAUAUAGACUGAAAGGUUUUGCUCAGCGCCCUGCUUUAACGCGGGGUGGAAUCCUACUUCUCUGGAAUGAAGACCAUGUCCGCGUUGAAAGUGUCCAGUAUGGCGACUACACCCUCUCGGCCACUGUCACUAUCAUCAUCUCCAAUAUUUCUUUCAAGCUAACCUCCAUCUACGGCCCAACUAGAAACAACCUAAAAGAGGCAUUCUUCCAGGAAAUGAAGGACCAAAAGCCAGCAAAUAAUGUGAGGUGGCUCGUCACCGGCGAUUUUAACCAAAUCUACAGGGCUAGAGAUAAGAAUCGUCCAAAUGCUAACCGUGGCCGAAUUGUACGAUUCCGCAACACCCUCAACUUCUGCGAGCUCAAGGAAAUCCACAUCCAGAAUAGAAAAUACACCUGGAGUAAUGAGCAAAGCAACCCGACAAUGUCCAAACUAGAUGGGUUCUUCUGUAAUGAGGAAUGGGAUAUCACUUUCGAUAAACACAUCCUUCACGCCCUGUCAUCCUCACUUUCGGAUCACUGCCCUCUACUCCUCGCCAAUGAAGAUGGGCCUCGGCGGCCGCGGACUUUCAGAUUUGAAAAUUUUUGGACCAACAUGCCAGGCUUUCAGCAGGUCGUCCAGGAGGCGUGGAAUGAGACGUCCGCACACAAUGAGCCAUACCAAAGACUGUUCCACAAGCUAAAGAAGACAAGUCAGAAGCUUCGCUCCUGGAGCAAAAGCCUUUUCUCUAAUGCCAAAGUCCAGCUACAUAUGGCUCUGGAGGUCAUCCUAAGACUUGAUGAGGCCCAGGACCUUCGAGCUCUUAGUCCAGCGGAGUUGGAUCUU
rnacentral:rRNA from 1 species